ensembl:lncRNA
CAGCCAUACUUAAGGUAAGAAAAUAAAUUUUACACUAUUUUAAACUGUUCUGGGGAAUUUGAAUAUUACAGACAACAUUGGAGCUUCAACAGCAGUUCGCUGAAAAUUAGAACAAAAUAUUAUUAUUUGUCAGUUUAAACACUUGUUUUGUGUAAAAUGCUCAAACACCAGGAAUCCUUCCAGCUUUGUUAAAUUUCAGCCUGAAUCAAACUUGAAAAUAUCUUGAUCAUCAUGAUUGGAGUAAGCGGUUGUAGUCCACUCUGUCCAUUGCUGUACUCCUCAUAGGUCUUAGGCUCUGCCUACAUUGUUACUUGUUUAGACUCCGUUUCAGUUGCUCUGUGUGCUCAGUGAAAGGCAUAUGUAUGUGUUUCUUACUGUUUUACUGUUAAUGUUUGUUUUGCUUUUUUUCUCUUGGGUCACUGUUUCAUUUUUGUAUUUAAAUUGUACUUUUUGCUCCAUACUGAGCAAAGGCCGUUCUGAAAGAAUCUGAGCUCUUAAAUUUGACAACCUUUUAAUGAAGUUUCAGUGCUAUUUGAUUCUCAUUGAGGACUCCAGUGAUGACUGUUUGAACUUCAUUGUUGUAAUGUGUGUGUUUAAACUCCGGUGUGGGUGGGGCAGCACUCGGUCAGUGAAGGAGAACUGCGAGAAAACCUUAUCGCUCUGGGCUCCACCUCAGGCAAGUCACUGGUUCUGAGUGCGGAGGACAGACGGCUGUGUUGCACUAACAGAGAGGAUGCUGUACACUGUGAGCUUCAGGAUGAGGAAGAGAAAGGAAGCGAAUCAGAUGAUGUGAUAACAGAGGAUUUUAGUAGCUCCAUGAUUUCCUGUUGGAGCUUCAGGGCUAAAGCCCUGCUGAAGCUCGACAUGGAUGAAGAGUGGCAAGGACACAGAGAGACACAACUGUCACAGCAGGAGGAGGGACAGGUGUGUGAGGAUCCAAACACAAAUAAGGCUUCACCCAGCCUAUUAGAGUUCCAGAAUAGCACAACAGAACUUGGAUCUGCAAAGGGAUUACAAUCCAUGUCUGAUUGUGAAGAAGCCGAAUUCAGGCACAGUGUUUAUCAUGCAAGCACUGUGGAGGGAACUGACCGAUAUGAGGUAAAAGCAGAAAUUGGGCUGAAUCAGGAUGGACAGUCAUCAGAAGAGGAAGUGGAGGGGGACUGUGCAGAAAGUGAGAAUCACUCCAUCCUUCCAUCGUCUGUUCUCAGUAAAGCAAGUGUCAUUGCUGAACAUUUUAUUGCUAAUGCUCGCCGCAGUAGUGCAGCACCAGAUGAGCUUCGUCUCCUCAGCGAAUUCAACAGGAAGUAACAUCAAGCAAAAUUGCAACUGCUAAUUUUAACCCC